UCCGUAGGCGGAUUGAUAAGUCAGAGGUGAAAUCCCACAGCUUAACUGUGGAACUGCCUUUGAAACUGUUAGUCUUGAGUUAUAUGGAAGUAGAUAGAAUGUGUAGUGUAGCGGUGAAAUGCAUAGAGAUUACACAGAAUACCGAUUGCGAAGGCAGUCUACUAACUGUAUACUGACGCUAAUGGACGAAAGCGUGGGGAGCGAACAGGAUUAGAUACCCUGGUAGUCC
rnacentral:rRNA from 1 species